AGAAAAGUAAGCUAAUAAAGCUAAUGGGUUCAUACCUCAUCUAUAGAAUUGAUUUCUCUUUUCUA
rnacentral:tRNA from 1 species